rnacentral:lncRNA from 1 species
CUAUUCUAAAAAAUUGAGCAGAAAGGACUCCUUCCCAACUCAUUCUAUGAGGCUAGCAUCAUCUUAAUGGUAAACUUUCAAUGACUCUCCACCACCAAGAGGAUGAAUUUCUAUCUCCUUAGAAUGGCAUAUAAAGCCAUUUGUGAUUUGGCCCUGGCUUCCCUCUCCACUCCAGCAGCUGUACUUAAGUACUUGUAGGUCCCUUAGGGAGCCAUAAUUUGUGGCAUUUUUACAUGUUACUUCCUUGGCAUAUAUAUUUUAUUUUAUUUUUGUCAGGCCCACACCACUUAGAUGUUGCUGACUCUAGUAAAGCUUCCCUUACUCCCCAGGUGCUGGGCUAAGUACCCCUAUUCUGGGAACCCUUCUGCUUACCAUAUCACAGCACUUCCGUGACUUCAUAAUCGUCUGUUUACUUGCCAUUUCCUCUAUUAAAUUCUGAGCUCCCUGAUGGGAGUAUUCAUGGUUAGAGUCUCAGUCUCUAUUACGGGCCCUAGUACACUUCAGGAACUCAAAAGCUUUGCUGAUAUAAUGCAAGGUGAUAAAAAAGUAGAAAGACUUGGGAUAAUCUUGAUUUCUGAAGGCAUCAAACGGGAAUUAGAGAAAGCAGCAGGAAAAACGAAGGCCUUUUUAAGUUCCAUGAGAACUACGGUUUGCAAGACUGGUCAAAACAGUACAAUGCAAGCGGCAAGAAUCAGGAAGUGCACAGAAACAAGAAGCUCGGUGCACACUGGGAUCAGGCAAGCAUCUGGGAGAAGACUGUAGCAAGACUGGAUCCUGAGAAAUAUACAGAGUUCAGAGGCUCCAUGGCUACACUUUGGGCAUGUAUGUCAUUACAGGAAUGAAAAAAAGAUGAUGGCCAAAUGCUGUAUUAAAAUCCCAUUAGAAAUGCCGGGAGAAAUUUAUGGCCCCAAUCUCUUUUAUCUGACAGUUCCCAUGUGAUCCAUCAGGCUCUGAACAUGAAUUUUAAUGGGCUCAGAACCACUUCUCUACCCUGAGGUCACAGGCUGUCAGAGUGAAUCUUCCACAAACUGAUUGGAACCUGAAGAAUUUGCUCUGUCAAGAGAGGAAAAAAGGCAUAAACCUUAGGUGGUAUGGAGAAUGAGGAAAGGGGAGGAGAAGGAGAAAUCCAAAAGAUAGGUGGAAAACCAUGGGAGCAAAUCAAGGCAGGAAAUCAGAGAAAUCAAAGCCAGAGAGCAUCUCAGGAAGAGCUGAUGGCUACCAGCACUGAAUACCACAGAGAUUAUUACAUCGCAAGACAAUGCAUCGCUCCAGCAAGGAUAACAAAGCGAAUGGGAAGGAAAGGGUUAUGAAGAGUUCAUGGAAGGCACCUUAGGCAGACUACUUUUAGGAAAGAGUGGAUGUGGAAGCUAAGUAUCUGGAAAUUGAUUUCCUUAGAACAGUUUGUGUUUGCAUGUCUUCUGAAAGGUUUUAUGUACUCCCAAGAGUAAGUAUACCUGUUUGAAGAAGCUGCUCAAUAUAGUUCUUAAAAUAGUCUACAAACAUGUUACCCCAGCAUAGUAAGAAAUAGGAGUACAGCCAGAAAUGAGAGUGGGAAUGAUUAGAGAGACCUCUUUGAGGCCUUGGUCGUGGGCAGGAGCACAGUGGGCCGGGCUCUUUCUAGAUGUGCUUUAAUCAUCAGGAAUUCUGAUACAAUUAUAUUUUGACUAUGAUAUAUAAGCUUCAUUUGAUUACUGUUGCCAAAUAUUUUUUGCUCUUCACGAAGUAAACCUCUUUUUAAAACUUUUUAACUGGCAAAUAAUAAUUGCAUCUAUUUAGGGAGUACAUUGUGAUGUUUUGAUACAUGAUUACAUUGUGGAAUGAUUUAAUCAAUCUACUUAAAUUUAGUGAAAAUAACUUAAGCUAUUAAUCUCAGCCUUGGUGGCUUCUCCUAAUUUAUGCUUACACAAGAGGCUAUCUUCAUUGUGAAAUGUCACAGACUCUCACAAGCAAGAGAAGAAAAUGUAGAGAAGCCCCUCAAAUAAAAUGCAUUAGGUUAAUUCAUACCGACAAAUGUGACACACUUAAAAUUGUUCCUAACAUCAGUUCAUGAUUUAUUUCAAAAGUUCUUAAUAUUCAAAAAUGCUCAAUAAUUUAAAGUAUUUCAAUGUAUAUAGCAAAUAAACCCUGCUAUUAAAACAAAAGAAUCAGGUUCAUUUCAGAAGAGUGAAAACUAGCAAGAUCUUACUGUAAAUCAACUGUUUGUUUUCAAUUAUUUGGCAUGAGAUCUUACAUAUUUUUAACCCAUGUUUUAAUUCUCGUAGAUACCCUGUUGCAAAAGUUCUGAAACAUUGUGAGAAAAAGUGUUUUUGUAGCACUUUGGCAAUGGGAGCCUCACUUCACUCUGUUAUGUAAUGUCCCAUCCAGUUUUUAGUUAAACCUGGAAACACCUUUGUCCUUAGGUGAAGCAGCAAGUCUUGCUUAAGCAAAGCUGGUGAAAUCAGAGCCUGGUCCAAGGCUCAGAAGCGUUUGCGGGGAAAAGCAAACACUUUUUGUGGGAGAAGGAAACAAAGGAGAAGAGAGGAGGAGGAAGAAAUUGAAAAAGAAGGGGAAGAGAAGAGGAAAAGAAAAAGAGACGUUGAGAGAAAGAAAAACAGAGAGCUGUGUGUGAUUGGAUGCCAUGACUCCUCAGUCUUAGUGCUAAUGCCGUUGUUACCUAACUCUAUUUAGGGAACUUUCCAGAACAAAGCGAAGCUUUGUGGGCCUGGCUUUCAGAACUUAUGCAACAAUUGUUUUGGGAGCAGACUGAAAAUUUUACAAGAGAACUGAGUUUUCAAGAGACUGACGGUGUGACCAAAAGAUCAAAGGUUUGGUGCAGUGGGACUAAGUUUCAGGCAGCCUUUCAAAUUGUGAAGACUUUCCUCCCUGUUAUGGCAGUUAAGACAUGUGAAAAUGGUAGUUCGAGACACUUAUAAGCAACUUUCUUCUUAGUUCACAAUGUUCCAUGAAUGUCAGUGCCCUCCAAACUCACGAGAACAAAGCAGGCAACCAGGAUGAUUACUCCCAAAUCAUUGAUAAAAGGAGAGAGAAGUACAGAGAUACACAGUGAUUUGUGUGGGUUGCCAAAAAGUUGCACGGAGGAAACACAGAUAAAUUAAAUACUGGUUAGCAAUCUUUAAUAACCAGGAGAUGCUUAACAUUUAUUUAGAAAUCUGCAACAUUUUAUAAAUCAUUGUUUUGGCUUCUGGGACAAACUCAGAAUCUGGAACCCACGGAAACCCUUCAGUUACACAAAGGCUUUCCAGUUCAUUGCUACUGCACUGAAGAACAGUCUUCACAACUAUACCUGGAACUUACUAGGCCAAGAAGGCAAGGCGUUGGUAUGUGUUUUUAUUGUAGUUAAACUUAUCUGGAUUUAAAAGGCAUUAACUAUCUUCUGAUUUCUUCCUUUUUCUUCAAUUGUACAAGAGUGUUUCAAUUGAAUAUUGCAACUGAAGACAUUCACUCUGCGUUGAUCACCUAUGGAGUGAUCAAAUUUCAACCCUUUGAAGUUUCCUAAAUGAAAGAGGCACUCUGAAUUCAAAGGCUGUUUGAAUGAACUGACUGCUUCAGCACUGUCUUGUAGAUAUAGUCCAUUCAAAUAAAAGACAAAUAUCUGACUGAAUUUUGUUAGCACGUUAAGACAUGUAUUAUAAAAAGGUUUAAGAAGAAAAUAAUGGCCACAAUUCUUCAGAAAACAUGUGAACUAAUGUGACAAAACACUGUGGUGUUGCAAACUCAAGUGCUGCUCUGGCCAAGUCACCUCGCUGAAAUCUCCACUUCCACUUGUGCAACCUACCAAGCCACUCUCUACACAGCUGCCAGAGUGAUUACAAAAACAACGCGGGAUUAUGCUACCCCUGCUUAUCUAAAAUUUGUCAAAAUGCCCGUUACACUUUGAAUAAAAUACAGAUUCCUCUCAGAUCUCAUUUCUUAUCAUGUCUUUCUCAAUCAUUAUGUUCCAGCCUCACUGACCUUCUUUCUGUUCCUGUAAAAUAUUCCUGCCUCAAGGGCGCAGGCCUACGACCUGCAGUUCUCUUUUUCCCACAUGUGACCAGGCUCUCUCUUAGCCAUCAGGUCUCAAAUAAGCUCUUUCCGUUCUGUCUAGGCAUCUUAUCAAAAUCAACCUGUGUAUUAUUAUUCAUUUAUCACAUAAUCUUGUUUUAUUUUCCUCAUAGCACUCUCACUUUCUGAAAUUAUCU